AGAAGGUCCCAAGGGUUGGGCUGUUCGCCCAUUAAAGUGGCACGCGAGCUGGGUUCAGAACGUCGCGAGACAGUUCGGUCCCUAUCUGUUGUGGGCGUUAGAAAUUUGAGAGAACCUAUUCCUAGUACGAGAGGACCGGAAUGGACGAACCUCUAGUGUACCUGUUGUGGCGCCAGCUGCAUUGCAGGGUAGCUACGUUCGGAUGAGAUAAGCGCUGAAAGCAUCUAAGCACGAAACUCAUCUCAAGAUAAGAUUUCUUUUAAGGGUCGUUAUAGACGAUGACGUUGAUAGGUCACAAGUGUAAGUGUAGAAAUACAUUUAGCUGAGUGAUACUAAUUACCCGUAGACUUUGAUUUGCUUUUAUAUAUU
rnacentral:rRNA from 1 species